rnacentral:misc_RNA from 1 species
AAGGAGCACCGGCUCGGUGCAGCGGACGUGCCCGGGUCCAUGCCGUGUCUGCAGGCGGGUGUCCUGCACGCGGUGGCUCAUUAGUGGAGCACUGGCUAGUCGGUCGGGCCGGGUUGCCGUGCCGCUAGUACCGCCCCUCGGUACCGGGGAGAGGAACGUGGUGGCGGGGCCGGGCCGGGUGAACACACUGUUGGGUCCUGAGGGAACGGACACUCAGGGCAGGUCGGCCGCCGGUGACGGGGUCAGCGUGUCCGGGGUUCGCCUCAUGCAGGGCCGGAUCGCCUGCCCCCGUGUGGGGGUGGGGUCGGGUGCGGUCGCUAUUUGUUGUUUGAGAUUUGCAUAGUGGACGCGAGCAUCUUUGU